AUCCUAUGCGUUCAUUCCCAUCUCGCCGAACCCCUUUACCCCUACCCGAAUCUCAUUUCUUCUCCUCUGCUCCCGACCCUCUCCUUCACCUCUUCUUCUCACGCGAUCGGAGCAGACGACGCCCCUCUUUGCCGUGGGAUGCUGCCACCGUCGACGCCGAGCCACCCGUUGUGGUCGCCGGUGAAGCUCUAAUGCCACAGCCACCUUGAGAGCAUCUUCUUCCUUUCCCCUAAUCUCGUCGCCAUGCCCUAGAUUUGUCGGCGCCUCACACUCCACCCAAUCCAUCGCUCUCUCCCUCUUCUCUACGUCUCCACCGAACACCGCCGAUGACCAUCCGUGCUAGAUCAUCGACGACACUGCAUCCUUCGUCGUUGAUGGAGGUGAUGCUGUUAGCCAUAGAUGUAGUGAGCCCUCUCUGCUCCCGAUCCACCCGAGGUCCUUCUCCCACCUCAACGUAGACGCUGACGUUUCCCCCUUCGCUUUCGUCUCCGGCCGAGGACAGCGAGCAGUUUCACAUAGUGGAUGUCGACACUGUGGUCUCAACAGUGAACAGCGGUUUGCCUUGCUGUGAGUAAGAGCUGUAAACCCUAGAUGCUGGCUUUUGUUGCUUACCGUUAUUGUCGGAGAUGAGCGGAAUUUGGGUUUGCAAGGGAAAGAGUUAGCAAACAGUAGAGGAUCGUUGUUGUUGGUUGUGAGCCACUUUCAAUGACAUCUUGUUGCCAAAUUUAGAGUAAGGACUUUGAUCCGAGAUUAGCGUCUCGAUGUGAGAUCAUUUGGCACGAUCUACAUUUAAGGCGGGUACUUCUUGUAUCUCUUUAGCACAUUGAUCUUAGUGCAUGAGCUAUAUGUUCAGAUAACUACUAUGUUUAUCUUGACUCCACUCUUAUUUUUCCUACGCUUGAUACUUCCACUCAAUCUUUGAGCUACUCGUAUCUGUUUCUAUACAGUUUCUUGUUGCUAUCGAUGAUAUUUAGCAGAUACUAUAUUACUAGGUAUCAGAUACCAGAUAUAAGAUGUCAGACAUUAGAUAUUAGGUAAAUUUAAUUCUAAUAAAUAAAUUUAAUAUAUUUGUCUAUGUUUUUCAUAAGUAGAGUGUAAAAUCUAUAAAUUCAAUAUCAAAACUAUUAUUUUUUUUAUUUAAAAAUUGAUUUAUGAGCUUAACGAAUAUGUUCACGAGAUAACGAGCCGAAUAUUCUGAAGCUUAAGCUUGGUUUGUUUAUCUUAACGAGCUUCAUUAAACGAGCUCAAACGAGCUUUUAUAGAAUCGAGCUUCGAAUAGCUCAUGAGCGGCUUGGCUCAUUUACACCUCUAAUUCCUGUACACUUGGUAAAAGUAUCAGAUCGGACAAAAUUUAAUUUUAACUAUGUAUUAUUUAUCAAAAUCAAAAUUUAAUUAUUAGUAUCAACUGCACUAACAAAAUAAACUAAUGUAAACAAAGGUGAGCAACGUGAUAGGAAAAAUCAAGCGAGGCAAGGUUAAGAGUAUAAUGAAUUCUAUUUUCAUACCAUCAAUUUUCAUAAAUUAAAUCAUGCACAGGAUAAAUGUAGUGAGAUAAGCAAUAAAAAUUUCACCUCAACGUAAAAACCCAUAUUUGUUCAUGUCUGACUCCAAUAUCUCGGUGCUAUGGUAGCAACUCCCUCGUAUUCAACCAUUUGAAACUCCAUUUCUCCAACCUUUUUCUUUUUGAAUGAGGGUGUUGUAUUCUUGGUGUUGCUUAGCCCAGAGACGGGUUUACACUAGGACUAUCCUGGGAUAUAGCCCAGCCCAAAAUCUAGUCAAAAAAAAAAAAUUGUCUUUGAAAGGACGGAUUAAUUCAUUCACGUAUUCUUCUCUUUUCUAGUUUUUGUAUAUCUUCUCUCCGAGGAGAUGGACGUGUAUAUCUUUUCUCUUUUUGCUUAUUUCUCUCCAAGGAAAGCGAUGUCGGACACGAAUCUCCAAUCUCAGGUAAACCCUUAUAUCUUUUUUUCCUUCUCUUCUCAGUCGUCCGCAGCCUGAUGGCGAUUGAGAUCGCCUCCCGUCUCCCGCGGCACCUGCCGUGUCCGCCGGCGCGAUCAAGUCGCGGCCGCACGCACUACCAACUCACAUAAAACCAAGGUCGCCGUCGAGUCGUGACCGAUGCUUUCGCCGUGCGCGCGACCAACUCGUACAACCGCUGCCGCGACCACUGCCUUGGUUUUGUGCAAGUUGGUUGCGCGGGACCAAAGCAUCGACAGCUGCUCUGCAGCAGCCUUAGGUUUGUGCGAGUUUGUUUUGCGCGGUUGCUUAGUUUGUGCGAGGUUUUCUUGGUUUAGAUUUACCUUUUUUCAAUUUGGGAUUUGGGAAAAGUGAUUUUUGUUUUUUAUUUUGAAAUUUGCAUUUGUUGGCUACAUGCUCCGAUGAUUGCGGUUCUUCUAGUGAGAUGGAUUUUAUAUUUUGAGUUGCUUAAUCGGAUUAUCUUGCUCCGUUUGAUCGUGAAAUUGAUGCACGGAAAGGAUGCAAUCUUGCUAGCUCAGGUUUGACCCCAUGAAUCCCCAUCCUGAAUCACUAUGUUGUUGAUUGGUCCAUGAAUCCCCAUCAUUAACAACUAUGUUACUGAUUGAUUUGAUUUUCCACUGUGCUACUGAGGGUUGAUUGAUUAUUUGAUUUCCUUGAUUUUUUUUUUUAUGUACGCCCAUUUAUAACACAAUUUAUUUCUUUAAAUUAUAUAAAUUAAUUUAAUUUUUAUAAUUGAUUUUGAUAAAUAGGAAUUAAAUUGCAACACUUACUUUCAGGCAUGUCUUCUGAUAACAUCAUUCAGAGCUCCCAUUAUGAGCUAACAACAGUAAAGGAAAAACCUACAUUCAUAGUGGAGGGAGAUUUUUCCCUUUAAUCGAAGAAGCGACUUUGUGAUUGCGAUGUUGUUUUUUCAACUUUUUUUUAUAUUAUUUAAAUAUGAAAGAGAGAUAAUAAAUAUAUAUAAUGAAAAGUGUGGGAUUAUGAAAAAAUUAUUGAGAGAUUUUUUUA